AAGUUUCUUCCAAGAAGUUUCUCAAGCUUCUGCAUCCACCUUGCCUAAAAUUUAAAAACUCUCUAGUCAACUCAAGCUUAACGGUGUGCGUCUGCAGAAAUCUGAAGACCAUCCCAGGCCGCCGACUUAAUUACGUCCAGGAUGCACGCCAGAGGUGAAAAGCCGCCGAGCACUGUUUUUCAAUCAUCAUCUCGCCAACUGACCUGGACUAGUGACACUAAAACCAGCAAUUAAAAGCCUCAGAUUCAAAUGCAUCCUGUUAAGGAGCCAUGGGUGAUUAGAUCAUAAAUCUGAGUGACCUUGAAGAUGAUGAAGGAAAUGUGCUUUGUAAGGCCAUCAUCUUGCCACCGAUCCAUCACUGACACAUCUUUACAGUUACAGCCUCAGCUUUCUUUAACCUUUUCUGGAGGGCCUAGUCUGAAUUCUGUUGAGCUCCUUCGUGUGAUCUUCACAGGGCAGAAGAAAUGCUCUCACAAACCUGUGCUUCGAGGAGGAAGAGACCUGGGGCCCUACAGUGUGAUAGAAAGAACCCCAGCCCUGAACCAUCCCCAGCCUAGGGUGACAGAAACUCUGCUAGAAUCUAAGAAAACUCUAGCAAAAAUUGGGUUGUCCGUUGGGCCGGAUGGUAGAUUCGAGUGUUAAGAGCAACUGAGUUACAGAGUGCGGAGGCGACUUCCCACCCUGCCAAUGGUAGAGAAAACGCUGGUCCUCCCAAAUCCGACCACAGAAACUGCGCGGCGAGCUCGACGGGGUUUGGUGAGAGCAGAUACAAAUAUUCUGGAGAGCCGUAUCACUAAAAUCAGACCAGUACCACCCAUCCUGUGAAGGGGAGAACACCUAGCCUUGGGUAAUGAGGAGACAGCAAAGGAGAACCUGAAGGAGAAGGAGGGAAGUGGAACCCUCUCGAUCCAUGGGAUCCUGCUGAACGCUGAACACCAAGGCUAACGUUCCCCACACUGGCAAAUCAUUUUCUUUAUUGGGUCUCUAAUGAUGAAGCGAACAGAGAAGUAGAGAAGGCAAUAAAUAAAUUGCACUGUGCUACACAUUGGUGAAAAUCAUGUUUUCCAAUUUAUUCUUCACAACAAAGCAUAUUUGAUCAGAGAUUCUACAGACUCCCAGGACACCAUGAUUGGUGUAUGGGGGUCUCUUUUCCAGUUCUAUGGAUUUGAUAUCAUCGACCAGAAGCAGUUCAGAAGACUGGUGUGGUACACUUGAUAAAAACAGCAGCCUCUCAGGAAUGUUUCCUCUCUGAUGUCCUGUGGAGUAAAUUGUGCCUUGUUGUAUUAUUAAUGAACUUUGUUAGGUGGUGCAAGCUUGCGGAUGACGCUUUGAUAGGGUACAUGGAGGCAUAUUGCUGGACUGAAGCUGCUUAUAAUCAGAAGUCUGGAAUCGACUGCUAAUAGACAGCUUAAUCCAAGCAUGAUGACUUCCCAUUAAUCUGUGAUGGGUUUUUAUUUCCCAUUAUAAACUAAAUAUGUAAACACAAAAGAAUUAGCAGGGCCGCUUUGAGAGGAUUUAAUUCUCAGGGCUCCCUCUGCUGGUGGUAGAGGGCGACAAAUUGCCAGAGAACUGAAGGAUGAGGGGAAUGUCCUUACCAUGAUUUUGCCAUUUAUAUUAGAGCUAAAU
rnacentral:lncRNA from 1 species